GCGAUGGCUUGGUCGAAAACGAGCUGUCAUCUCAAAUUCAUCAUGUAAAGCCGAGUCUGACCUGCUACAUAAUAUUAAGAACAGGACGCAAGGUAAAGUUAGUUUCACUGGUUUACAGUUUAGUUUAUUCUCUGGAAAUACAUGUUUAGCAUGGUAAAACGUUAUCAUUGGAAACACCGCUAGCUUGGGUAAAAAAGUACGGCGGCGGGAUAACAUUUUCAGUUUCCUUCUGCGGUUGCCAGGCGAUUCAUUUGGCAGAAAUUGGGACGGCAAUGAAGCUACAGACAGGCUGAAGCUGGACUCUUGGAGGUCCCUCACGCCCCCGUGCCGGGUGCAGGGACGUGUCGGAGUGUCCAGAUCUGAAACCCCAAAGUCCCUCUUUCCUGAGUUGAGCACCGGAACCACAUCCCCUGUGUAGGGCUCCCGCUCAACAGCUUUCACAGCCUGGCACUGGACGGCGUUACCUUGGUGCCGCUGUAGAAGUCAUCUGCCGUGGUGGCAUUCAUGAAGCUCUCCUCCAGGUGGACACUGGUGUCAAUACCCCCGGGGAGGACUAGUUUUCCCGAGGCGUCGAUCACUUUGGCUCCACCUGGGAUCAUCAGCUCCUUCCCCACCUGCUGGAUGAUGCCAUUCUCGAUGUAGACGUCGGCCUCCUGGGUGCAGUCGUCGUUCACCACCUUGCCGCCUUUUAUCAGGAUCCGCACCAUUGCUGAGCUGGAAGACAUGGCUAUGGCUCUGUAAGGAAGAGAAAGGGGGGGGGAAAGAUGGGUUUUAAUCCUGUGGUGUGAGCAGCUGCUAAAACUGUGAUAAACUGACUAAAUCUAAUACCACUUAACUACAAAAAGCAAAAGAGAAGUUACAGCAACAGCAAGUGUUUCUACAAAGAAACUUGAGAAAGAGAACUUUUUACAGUACCUCAUCCUGAGCUGAGACAGUGUAGUAAGACUAGCAGAGACAAGAAUCAGUGAUGCUGCCCUGUGACCAGUCCGUCAGGCUGUGACUUACAUCAGCUACAAGACUACAAGUAGGCUGUGUCAGUCACCGCCUGUGACCUGACGUCCCAGUGGACACUGAUGCACUGGUGAAUAGAAAGAAGCUGAGUCCAGUUGUGGAUCACAAUAAGGCAGACAAGGGUCAAUAAAGCCAUUCUUUUGAAAGAACUAAAGCAGCAUAAAGCCACUUACAAUGAUGUUCACUCACUGAGAAGCUAUACAGAAAGAAUCAUAGUGGCUGAAAAAUAUGAGCUACGAAGGUUGAGGUGCGUUCACUUCCGCUACAUCCAUGCCAAAUAGCUCAACUCUACCCCAGUGCUUCCCAACCUGGGGAUCAGUACCCCCAAAAGGGAUCACGGGGUGAAUCUAAGGGGUCGUCAGAUGAUUUCUACUACACAGCAUUUGGUUUAUUGUUUGGGACUUUUUAUCUCCUCUUUUCUUGCAAAAUACUACUGUUACCUCUUCAGCAUCUACUUCUAAUGAAAGAAUGUUAAAGGUAAACACCACUGUUUGAAUUGAAGAACCUGUGAUGGGGGGUCACAGGUAGAUUUGGCUUUGUACUAAGAGGUCACAACCACCACUGUAGCUACCACUACAAACUAUGAAGUUAUGUCCUUAAUAUUGUUUCUGGGAAUUGGGGUUUUUUAUAAACUUGGUUUACAUUUUACAAUGAAAAACGUUCACAUGGUGGGUAUGUUAUAGACAGAUUCCAGUAUUUUUUGACUCAGUAGAUUUAAAUUGGAUGACUUUUGGACCACAAAAGGAAAGGAAUAAUGGAUUCAUCAUCCGGAAUUUUUCUUCCUGGUAGCGUGGAGAGUUGAAACAGCACUUACACCCCUAUGUUGCUAAAUUACAUUUGCAUUUGCAAAAUAUAUAUAUGUAUAUCCAAGUCCAAAUUUAGUAAAGGUGCGUUGGGGUCUCAUGAUCUUAGUAUUUCUACAAUUCUGGCAACAACUCUGUCAGUAACCACAAGGGUUGCUCUACUCUAUACUCUAUUCAAAACAACA